rnacentral:rRNA from 1 species
UACAGAGGUCUCAAGCGUUGUUCGGAUUCAUUGGGCGUAAAGGGUGCGUAGGCGGCGGGGCAAGUCGGAUGUGAAAUCUCAGGGCUCAACCCUGAAACUGCAUUCGAUACUGCCUUGCUCGAGGACUGGAGAGGAGAUUGGAAUUCACGGUGUAGCAGUGAAAUGCGUAGAUAUCGUGAGGAAGACCAGUGGCGAAGGCGGAUCUCUGGACAGUUCCUGACGCUGAGGCACGAAGGCCAGGGGAGCGAACGGG